CCUACGGGAGGCAGCAGUAAGGAAUAUUGGACAAUGGGCGCAAGCCUGAUCCAGCCAUGCCGCGUGAAGGAUUAAGGUCCUCUGGAUUGUAAACUUCUUUUAUAGGGGACGAAAAAAGGGCAUUCUUGUUCACUUGACGGUACCCUAUGAAUAAGCACCGGCUAACUCCGUGCCAGCAGCCGCGGUAAUACGGAGGGUGCAAGCGUUAUCCGGAUUCACUGGGUUUAAAGGGUGCGUAGGCGGGCAGGUAAGUCAGUGGUGAAAUCCUAGAGCUUAACUCUAGAACUGCCAUUGAUACUAUCUGUCUUGAAUAUUGUGGAGGUAAGCGGAAUAUGUCAUGUAGCGGUGAAAUGCUUAGAUAUGACAUAGAACACCUAUUGCAAAGGCAGCUUACUACGCAUAUAUUGACGCUGAGGCACGAAAGCGUGGGGAUCAAACAGGAUUAGAUACCCUGGUAGUCCACGCCCUAAACGAUGGAUACUCGACAUACGCGAUACACUGUGUGUGUCGUGAGACGAAGACAUUAAGUAUCCACCGUCGGAGGUACGUACCGCGAGAGUAGAAACGUUAAAGGUAAGUUAGUACGGACGUUAGAGACGNGCGACGGACGACGACGAGGGAGGAGG
rnacentral:rRNA from 1 species